rnacentral:rRNA from 1 species
GACGUAGGGCGCGAGCGUUGUCCGGAUUUAUUGGGCGUAAAGAGCUCGUAGGCGGCUUGUCGCGUCGUCCGUGAAAACUUGGGGCUCAACCCCAAGCUUGCGGUCGAUACGGGCAGGCUAGAGUUCGGUAGGGGAAACUGGAAUUCCUGGUGUAGCGGUGAAAUGCGCAGAUAUCAGGAGGAAUACCGGUGGCGAAGGCGGCAUCCUGGACCGACAUUGACGCUGAUGAGCGAAAGCUAGGGGAGCAAACGGG